rnacentral:misc_RNA from 1 species
UACUCUCACACUCUCUAAUUUUCGGAUUGGAGAAGCGUGGACUUGGAUGCUGCUGCUUCGCUGUGGCUCAUCUUAAAUGCAUUAGUGCAACUUGUAGUUGGACAUAGUACAGCGUGAUAAGUGUCUUCGCUGGCGACCUUCCCUUAUGGAAAGGGUGUCUAAUUUAAAGCUCUGUGCUUCUAACUGUCCUUGGACAAUCUUUGACC